CAGCACUCUGGAGACAUCCGUAGCACGGGGGCCGAAGGUGAAAGCGCAAGCGAAUCUCUCAGGCAAAAGGACAGAGCAG
rnacentral:ncRNA from 1 species